CUGUAGGUUUGUUGGACCAAGGAAGUCCAAGAGGAACGGACAAAGUAAAGGGCGCAGAACCACAACCAAUGGUCAGAAAGAUUUAGAUUUAAUCAAAGACAACGCGUUUCGGGGUGCAUGACCCCUUUAUCAAGUCUGAUGGAUCACAGAGGAGGCCGCUCGCUCCCCAGCACGUGGGGCGUCUGUGAAGAUACCAGA